GGGUAUCACUUCCUUACUC
rnacentral:snRNA from 1 species